GAUGAACGCUGGCGGCGUGCCUAAUACAUGCAAGUCGAGCGAACAGACGAGGAGCUUGCUCCUCUGACGUUAGCGGCGGACGGGUGAGUAACACGUGGAUAACCUACCUAUAAGACUGGGAUAACUUCGGGAAACCGGAGCUAAUACCGGAUAACAUGUUGAACCGCAUGGUUCAACAGUGAAAGACGGUCUUGCUGUCACUUAUAGAUGGAUCCGCGCGUCAUUAGCUAGUUGGUAAGGUAACGGCUUACCAAGGCAACGAUGCGUAGCCGACCUGAGAGGGUGAUCGGCCACACUGGAACUGAGCCACGGUCCAGACUCCUACGGGAGGCAGCAGUAGGGAAUCUUCCGCAAUGGGCGAAAGCCUGACGGAGCAACGCCGCGUGAGUGAAGAAGGUCUUCGGAUCGUAAAACUCUGUUAUUAGGGAAGAACAAAUGUGUAAGUAACUAUGCACGUCUUGACGGUACCUAAUCAGAAAGCCACGGCUAACUACGUG
rnacentral:rRNA from 1 species